rnacentral:rRNA from 1 species
CCAGACUCCUCGGGAGGCAGCAGUAGGGAAUCUUCGGCAAUGGGGGGAACCCUGACCGAGCAACGCCGCGUGAGUGAAGAAGGUUUUCGGAUCGUAAAGCUCUGUUGUUAAGGAAGAACGAGUGUGAGAAUGGAAAGUUCAUACUGUGACGGUACUUAACCAGAAAGGGACGGCUAACUACGUGCCAGCAGCCGCGGUAAUACGUAGGUCCCGAGCGUUGUCCGGAUUUAUUGGGCGUAAAGCGAGCGCAGGCGGUUAGAUAAGUCUGAAGUUAAAGGCUGUGGCUUAACCAUAGUACGCUUUGGAAACUGUUUAACUUGAGUGCAAGAGGGGAGAGUGGAAUUCCAUGUGUAGCGGUGAAAUGCGUAGAUAUAUGGAGGAACACCGGUGGCGAAAGCGGCUCUCUGGCUUGUAACUGACGCUGAGGCUCGAAAGCGUGGGGAGCAAACAGGAUUAGAUACCCUGGUAGUCCACGCAGUAAACGAUGAAUACUAGGUGUCGGGUGGCAAAGCCAUUCGGUGCCGGCGCAAACGCAAUAAGUAUUCCACCUGGGGAGUACGUUCGCAAGAAUGAAACUCAAAGGAAUUGACGGGGGCCCGCACAAG